GGCCGGUUCUAUAACUGGACCGGACUGUAUUUAUUAUAUUAGGCAGUUAUAGAACCGCCUAGCUAUAGAGUCAACUUGGUUAUCGAGUCGAUUUAUCUUUGCCGAGUUUCAGCAUCGUCGUCGGUCGUUUUAAAAACUAGAUAUAGGUUCAGUUGGCGGGUUUUACAUGCCAUGAAUUUUUAACAUGCGAAGUUAUAUUAUUUUAAUUUAGUUUGCCAAUUUUAGGCAAUUGUGUACAUUUAUUCAAUGAUCCAAAUUAAGACAAAUGGGUGACAAGCUAAUUUAGCCGAGAAACGAUAAAAAAAAAUUAUUUUCUUACUUUUCUCUAUGUCUGUACAAAAAAUGGUAAAAGCUUUUUAAGGUGGCAUUUGUGUUGUAGUAAAAAGAAACAAAGAAAAUAACUAUCAUCUGCCGAGCGGGUUGUGCUUACCUCAAUUGUAGAGCUCACAUCAAUUGUCUUUAAAUCUUCUGUUUUGGCUGUGUUUUUCCACUCGGGGAUGGGACUUACGUAGGCCCAAUUGAAAGAUGGCCUACUGCAAUCAAAAUUUCACACUGUUAUUUUAUCCUUUUAUGCUGAGUUUUGAGUUAAGAAAUUAGUUAAAAUCAAGUUCAAAAGAAAACUAGAAUGGCAGAAGCUUCUCAAGGAUCCAACGAAAAACUUAAAUGAAUUUUACAUGUUGGAGAGGACGAUAGUUGUGAACCAGUGAAAAAAUUUUAAGCUGAACUUUUCGAUACCUGCAGGAAAAAGAGUGUUGCCUACAAAUUUCGUGUUACUUCUGACUUUAAAGACCUUAUUAUUCCUGUGAUUGUAAGUGAUUCAAAAGGGUACCACUUAUCAUGUUAUAAAAAGUAUACAGCCAUUAAAAAUAAAGAAGUUGAGUCUGAAUUGUCAAAACAAAAAGCACUUGACGAGCAAUCAGUUUUAGUGCAGUCUACAUUACAACCUACAGCCCAACCAGCCUCAGACAGUGCUGUUUAUUCUACAAUUAGUACUCGUUCUUUGAGGUCAACACCAAAAGGAAAAGAAAAUGAAAUAAAUCCCCGGACUGGUGUGCACAUUGAAAAAUGCAUUUUUUGCCUAAAGAAGAGGAAAGAAUUUAAUAAUAAAGUGUAGUCUCUAAUUACAUGUAGAACUGCAAACAUUCAGCCUAGCAUAUUACAUGAUGCAAAGGUUUUGCAACAUAAGAAUAUUUUGGAGAAUUUCGCUGGUGUACAAUGCGAUUUAAAAUUUGUAGCUAAGGAAGUGAAAGUCCACAAGGCGAAAGAUGUUUCAGAUCGUCAUCGUAUGUUACAAGCCGAAUAUGGGCUUGAACCAAACGACUUUUCCACAGACCGUGACUACAUGUUUCUCGCCAAGUUGACUGAACAUUUCCAAGGAAAAAUUUUUAUAAUGAAGCAUGAAACUAAAGGCAUUGGCAAAAUUAUCUUCUCCUCAACUAUUCCACCAACCAAAGCUUUUGCCCCUAUUUUUAACGUAAAUAAUGGUAUUUCCUACAAGGUGCAGGAAGCUGCCUAUUUCCUUCGAAAUUUAGUCUUGAAGUCACCUUGUAAACCGUUACCAACAAAUAAGCUACAGGCGAAGGAUAUUUAAGAAGGUAAAAUCUAUUGGAGUCCGUAAUACGGACUCCUCUAGCGUCAAAACUGUUUAUUGGAGUCCGUAAUCCCAUAUGGCUCUGGUGUCGUGCCUAGCGCUAGCAGACCUUUUUGAAUUGUAAUGUUGAGAACAGAAUAGUUUCCGAGUUAAACAUGUGUAUUGUAGACUGGUAUCUGAAUUAUUCACAUUAUUGUGAGCUGGGCAAUUAAAAACUUAUACAAUAUAAAGGAACAUGGUUUGCAUCACUGUCAUCUGGGUAAUCUUUGACACAUAUUUGAUGAGUAAGCUGGACUAUUUAAAAAAAUUAUACAGUAUGAAAAACAUGGUUGCAUCAGUGUCUUCUGGGUAGUCCUCACACAUUCGAUGAAACCAUUCUUGGCAGUUCUCACAUUCUAUCUGGUCCCACUGUUCUGAUUUCAAUCUGUACCAAGUCCUUCUGCAGUGACACAUAACAGGGAGGCUGUCAUAAAUAAGAACAUGUGCAGGCUAGCUGAAGCCUUUAGCCGCCAAUACCCAGUGAUCCUUCCCGUAUGGAUAAUUUGCAUCCAUUUUUCCUCGUCAACCUUUGGAAAUUCCAGGGAUCCUCCAAUGGUGACACAAAAAAGACCGCCAAUGUCGGGAUUAUUUUUCUUCAUCAUCAUCUGUGCCAUAUUGAUGUAUCCUGAAGUCAGUUGAUUCUUUGAGGUGACGUGGUUGCUGGGAUCUCCACCGGGGUAUCUGAAAUUGUUGAAGAAUCCAUAGCAUCCUCCGUCUUAGUUUCGGUUGGCUGCACAUCCGAAAUGAUGAUGGAAGAAUCAUUCACAGCUUCCGUCAAUGCUACAUCUUCCUCCUUAGCGUACAUUCUGUCUUCCUCUUCACGAAUCAUAUUCUCUUCUUCAAGUAGUUCAUCUAAUACGGAGCUUGGUUGUGCGAUACGAGCCUUUUUUCUCUGAUGGAAGCUGUUGAAAUAGCCAUUAUUAUUCUUUGGGCGGCCUCUCUUUUUUAAAGCAACUGGUAGACGAAAUGAUGACCAUUCAGAGGAAAUUCCCUAAUAGGAUCAGGUUCGUUUUCCUCAGACACUGGAGAGGAACAUUCAUGGGGAUUUUUAGUGAUAGUUUUUCUAUCUGGUAUCUUCACAUCGUUAUCAAACUCACUAUUUUCAGAAACCGGUGAUGAAGUUUCUUGAGUAGGAUUCUUGAUAGCACUUCCGUCUGUUAAACUAAGAGUCUUCAUAGCAUUUUCAUUAAGAAGAAGUUAAAUGGGUUGAUCAGCCCUUAUCAAGAAGCGUUGCCGUGUUGAAUUGCUCCCUCUCAGUCACAGGCUUUCUGGCCUUUUCCUUCUUAUGCACUCUUGUAGGGGAUGUUACACUGGCGAGAAUAUCUAAAUCAUCCCAACAAGAAUUAACAGACAUUUGUUUCUCCAAUGAUCAGAAUAUGAUUCGGGAGGAACCUCCAAGUUAUCCUUUAUAUGAAAAUAGAUUAAAUGUCGGCAAGGCAGCUGGAAAGACAUGAAGAAAUCACAGGAGCAGCCCGUUAAGUCCUUUUGUAACGUGUAGCUCUUGUUGUUGCUUGAAGAAAUCUGGCAAAGGGAGAAAUGGAGGCAGCAAACUUUUCCAGUAGCGGAUGUUUACGCUGUCUUGAAAAUUUCACCUCUCGUAUUUUCUGCAUAAGUUGCCUGUCACUAAGGCUGAUUCGUACGAUAUCGACUAAACCUUUUAUAACCUUAGCCAAUCACCUAUCCUUUCCGAGGACUUCCUUGAUGCUUAUUCGUUGUAUUAUUAUCCAAUGGUGGAAGGUGCUGUCAUCCCACACUCGUCCACUUGUCACUUAUGUUGAACCAAUUGUUAUGAAAAUACGCUGCAAUGAUUCCUCCUUCUAUCAAUUACAGAGUUUGUAAAAUUUCAAUAC